rnacentral:rRNA from 1 species
CACGUAGGGUGCGAGCGUUGUCCGGAAUUAUUGGGCGUAAAGAGCUCGUAGGCGGUGUGUCGCGUCGGCCGUGAAAACCUGCAGCUUAACUGUGGGCUUGCGGUCGAUACGGGCAUCACUGGAGUUCGGCAGGGGAGACUGGAAUUCCUGGUGUAGCGGUGAAAUGCGCAGAUAUCAGGAGGAACACCGGUGGCGAAGGCGGGUCUCUGGGCCGAUACUGACGCUGAGGGACGAAAGCUAGGGGAGCGAAUGGG